rnacentral:rRNA from 1 species
AUCUACAGCCACACUGCCCUGGUUGCACCCAAUCUCAUUUGAUCUCAGAAGUUAAGUGGAGCCAGGCCUGGUUAGCCCUUGGAUGAGAAAAUU